rnacentral:rRNA from 1 species
ACGCUCGACACCUACUGGAGGCAGCAGUGGGGAAUAUUGGGCAAUGGGCGCAAGCCUGACCCAGCAACGCCGCGUGAAGGAAGAAGGCUUUCGGGUUGUAAACUUCUUUUCUCAGGGACGAAGGAAGUGACGGUACCUGAGGAACAAGCCACGGCUAGCUACGUGCCAGCAGCCGCGGUAAUCUGAGCGGGCUGGCAAGGC